rnacentral:rRNA from 1 species
GAUGAACGCUGGCGGCGUGCCUAACACAUGCAAGUCGAGCGGGCGUAGCAAUACGUCAGCGGCAGACGGGUGAGUAACGCGUGGGAACGUACCUUUUGGUUCGGAACAACACAGGGAAACUUGUGCUAAUACCGGAUAAGCCCUUACGGGGAAAGAUUUAUCGCCGAAAGAUCGGCCCGCGUCUGAUUAGCUAGUUGGUGAGGUAAUGGCUCACCAAGGCGACGAUCAGUAGCUGGUCUGAGAGGAUGAUCAGCCACAUUGGGACUGAGACACGGCCCAAACUCCUACGGGAGGCAGCAGUGGGGAAUAUUGGACAAUGGGGGCAACCCUGAUCCAGCCAUGCCGCGUGAGUGAUGAAGGCCCUAGGGUUGUAAAGCUCUUUUGUGCGGGAAGAUAAUGACGGUACCGCAAGAAUAAGCCCCGGCUAACUUCGUGCCAGCAGCCGCCGUAA